rnacentral:tmRNA from 1 species
GGGGGCGAAACGGCUUCGACGUGGGUCGUGAAGCUUCAGGAGCAUGCCGGGGAGUCUGUCCUCGAUAAAAAAAGGCAACCAUAUAAUCGGCAACGAUUAUCAACUUGCUGCUGCUUAAUUGACAGCGCACGCCGACUCGAGAUGUGGUGGCGGUUUCGAGAAGGCGACAUUUAGUCACCUCGAUUGCUGGUGUUUUCUUCAGGCCUGCAAUUUAAAAAAUUCUGGGGGAAGGGUUCUUAAGAGUUUGUUCAUAAACGCUUGAGCAACCAACUAAAUUAUGAACUAAGCAUGUAGCUUUGCCUGACAGUGGAACACUUGCGGACGCGGGUUCAACUCCCGCCGCCUCCACCA